rnacentral:rRNA from 1 species
GGGGAGACUGGAAUUCCUGGUGUAGCGGUGAAAUGCGCAGAUAUCAGGAGGAACACCGAUGGCGAAGGCAGGUCUCUGGGCAUUAACUGACGCUGAGGAGCGAAAGCAUGGGGAGCGAACAGGAUUAGAUACCCUGGUAGUCCAUGCCGUAAACGUUGGGCACUAGGUGUGGGGGACAUUCCACGUUUUCCGCGCCGUAGCUAACGCAUUAAGUGCCCCGCCUGGGGAGUACGGCCGCAAGGCUAAAACUCAAAGGAAUUGACGGGGGCCCGCACAAGCGGCGGAGCAUGCGGAUUAAUUCGAUGCAACGCGAAGAACCUUACCAAGGCUUGACAUGGGCCGGACCGGGCUGGAAACAGUCCUUCCCCUUUGGGGCCGGUUCACAGGUGGUGCAUGGUUGUCGUCAGCUCGUGUCGUGAGAUGUUGGGUUAAGUCCCGCAACGAGCGCAACCCUCGUUCCAUGUUGCCAGCGCGUAAUGGCGGGGACUCAUGGGAGACUGCCGGGGUCAACUCGGAGGAAGGUGGGGACGACGUCAAAUCAUCAUGCCCCUUAUGUCUUGGGCUUCACGCAUGCUACAAUGGCCGGUACAAAGGGUUGCGAUACUGUGAGGUGGAGCUAAUCCCAAAAAGCCGGUCUCAGUUCGGAUUGGGGUCUGCAACUCGACCCCAUGAAGUCGGAGUCGCUAGUAAUCGCAGAUCAGCAACGCUGCGGUGAAUACGUUCCCGGGCCUUGUACACACCGCCCGUCAAGUCACGAAAGUUGGUAACACCCGAAGCCGGUGGCCUAACCCCUUGUGGGA